UACGUAGGGGGCAAGCGUUGUCCGGAAUCAUUGGGCGUAAAGAGCGUGUAGGCGGUCCGGUAAGUCGGCUGUGAAAGUCCAGGGCUCAACCCUGGGAUGCCGGUCGAUACUGCCGGACUAGAGUUCGGAAGAGGCGAGUGGAAUUCCCGGUGUAGCGGUGAAAUGCGCAGAUAUCAGGAAGAACACCGAUGGCGAAGGCAGCUCUCUGGGACGGUACUGACGCUGAGGCGCGAAAGCCAGGGGAGCAAACGGG
rnacentral:rRNA from 1 species